UGGGGAAUUGUUCGCAAUGGGCGCAAGCCUGACGACGCAACGCCGCGUGGAGGAUGAAGGUCUUCGGAUUGUAAACUCCUGUUGCUCGGGACGAAAAGCUUCGACCUAAUACGUCGAAGUCUGACGGUACCGAGUGAGGAAGCCCCGGCUAACUCUGUGCCAGCAGCCGCGGUAAUACAGAGGGGGCAAGCGUUGUUCGGAAUUACUGGGCGUAAAGGGCGCGUAGGCGGCCUGCUAAGUCGAACGUGAAAUCCCUGGGCUCAACCCAGGAACUGCGUCCGAUACUGGUUGGCUUGAAUCCGGGAGAGGGAUGUGGAAUUCCAGGUGUAGCGGUGAAAUGCGUAGAUAUCUGGAGGAACACCGGUGGCGAAGGCGACAUCCUGGACCGGUAUUGACGCUGAGGCGCGAAAGCCAGGGGAGCAAACGGG
rnacentral:rRNA from 1 species